UACGUAGGGGGCAAGCGUUGUCCGGAUUCAUUGGGCGUAAAGAGCGUGUAGGCGGCCACGUAGGUCGGUUGUGAAAACUGGAGGCUCAACCUUCAGACGUCGACCGAAACCAUCUGGCUAGAGUCCGGGAGAGGAGAGUGGAAUUCCUGGUGUAGCGGUGAAAUGCGCAGAUAUCAGGAAGAACACCCGUGGCGAAAGCGGCUCUCUGGAACGGUACUGACGCUGAGACGCGAAAGCGUGGGGAGCGAACAGG
rnacentral:rRNA from 1 species